UUUCUUUCUAGAAACAGUUUCCAGUAUUACUCGGCUGUGUGAUGUGUUUGGUGGCUGUGAUGACACUCAGGCCUCAGGGUCACAGGGAAGGUCAGUGACUGUCGCUUUGGCACUUUGGAGGAUCAGCCAAUCAGAACACAGGACUUUGGCCUUUGAAUAGAGAGCUACAGAAGGCACUGUGCGGUAGAGAGCUCGUGGCAAGAUGGCUGACAUCCAGUUUUGCAGAAGAAUACUAGAGGGACAGUAAAUUCACUGUGGAGGAAAAUUAAAAGGAAAUACUGGAAAACACAAACAUGUUUCCAUAUAUUAACAAAAGGAAAAUAUUUUCCAUCCUUUUUUGCAGUAAUAUAAGAACAGAACUGGAUGUGGCUUGCUAAUAUUAGAAAAGUCAUUGAAAAGAUUGAUGUAUACCGAGUGUUUGACAGGACUGCAAAUUUCUGGGGUGUGAGUUUUUAAAGGGGUCUAAAGCAUUUAUAUAUGUGUGUGUGUGUGUAUUUUAUAGGAAUGGCACAGGGGAAUGAUCAUGGCACGCAGUAUCGUUGUACCAUCUACACCUACAGCCCAGAACAGCAAGAGCUGGCCAUGAGAAGCAAGCAUAUGUACCAGGAGGGCUCAUAUGUGAUUUGGGCUUGAGGAGAAUGAGGCGUGGACAGGGAGGUUGGGUGACCACUGUUUGCCUUGGCCUUGUGUGCAUCAGGGUGAAAGGUCAGGCUUGUGGGAGGCAGCUGUUGUUAAAGGGACGCAAUCAGAUCAAGGGACCAAAACGGACGUGUUGUCGAUGGCCCCAAUGAUCCCACAAGCUGAAAUGUACACGCACACAGAUGUAGUGAGGCAGAAGGCUCCAUUUACUUGAUCAAAAGUUCUAUUUGAUAAAAAAUACUACUACAAUUUAAAAUAACUAUUUUCUAUUCUAAUAUAUUUUAAAAUGUAAUUUAUUCCUGUGAUGGCAAAGCUGAAUUUUCAGCAGCCAUUUCUCCAAUCUUCAGUGUCACAUGAUCCUUCAGAAAUCAUUCUAAUAAGCUGAUUUGGAGCUCAAAUAACAUUUCUUAUUAUUGUCAAUGUUAGAAACAGUUGUGCUGCUUAAUAUUUUGUGUAAAAGUAGAUCCUUUAUUGAAAGAACAUUUUAAAACAACAGUAUUUAUUUGAAAUAGAAAUCUUUUGUAACAUUAUAAAUGUUUUUACUGUCACUUUAGAUCAAUCCAAUGCAUCUUUGCUGAAUAAAAAGUAUUCAUUUCUUAAAAAAUAAAAAAAA
ensembl:lncRNA